AUUGAACGCUGGCGGAAUGCUUUACACAUGCAAGUCGAGCGGCAGCACGGGGGCAAUCCUGGUGGCGAGCGGCGAACGGGUGAGUAAUACAUCGGAACAUGCCCAGUCGUGGGGGAUAACACUUCGAAAGAAGGGCUAAUACCGCAUACGUCCUGAGGGAGAAAGCGGGGGAUCUUCGGACCUCGCGCGAUUGGAGUGGCCGAUGUAAGAUUAGCUAGUUGGGGGGGUAAAGGCCUACCAAGGCAACGAUCUGUAGCUGGUCUGAGAGGAUGAUCAGCCACACUGGGACUGAGACACGGCCCAGACUCCUACGGGAGGCAGCAGUGGGGAAUUUUGGACAAUGGGGGCAACCCUGAUCCAGCCAUUCCGCGUGAGUGAAGAAGGCCUUCGGGUUGUAAAGCUCUUUCGGCAGGAACGAAACGGCGAGCUCUAACAUAGCUUGCUAAUGACGGUACCUGAAGAAGAAGCACCGGCUAACUACGUGCCAGCCGCCGCAGUAAGAC
rnacentral:rRNA from 1 species